rnacentral:lncRNA from 1 species
CCUAAAAUGAAAUUAAAGGUAUUUUUCAUUUUCUCAGUUAGUAGCAACAGAGAUGGACAAAGGAGAUUCCAAAGGGUAUACUCAUACAUGAUAGACAUAGCCUAUGUAUGGUCAAGAGUUUGUCAAGGGUUUUGUGUGUGUGUGACCUAAGCUGUGCCAAAUUCUGAUAUUUUGUAAAUUUGUAUGUAAAGAAACAUGAAAGUGAAAUAAUGCAAAUUUUAAAUAUGCUUUGUUUCUAUUUUAAUUCUACCCAAUCCAAAGGACACCAUCUCCAAGCCAAAAAGCCAGGAAGGAGCCACCCUGUCUGAUCAAGAUAAAGGAGGGCCGAUGGCUGAUGGCAUCAAUGAGGAUAGUGCUUCAUGCCUCUCCUGCUUUAGUCUUCGGGAAAAAACUAAAAGGCAAGUUUCAACCAGCUCUGCUAUGGACACCUCAUCUUUAUGGAUGGUUAAGAACUAAAGAGCAUGGUUUUCAGGUCCAUUCUUUCCACCUCCAACGUAGUAGAAGUGAAUAGUAAUAAUAAAAGAAAUUGCAACAAUAACUGUAGCA